rnacentral:rRNA from 1 species
CACGUAGGGGGCGAGCGUUGUCCGGAAUCAUUGGGCGUAAAGAGCUCGUAGGCGGCUCAGUAAGUCGGGUGUGAAACCCCCAGGCUCAACCUGGGGACGCCACCCGAUACUGCUGUGGCUAGAGUCCAGUAGGGGAGUGUGGAAUUCCCGGUGUAGCGGUGAAAUGCGCAGAUAUCAGGAAGAACACCAAUGGCGAAAGCAGCUCUCUGGGACGGUACUGACGCUGAGACGCGAAAGCGUGGGGAGCGAACAGG